rnacentral:rRNA from 1 species
CAUGCAUGUCGAACGCCCCGCAAGGGGAGUGGCAGACGGGUGAGUAACGCGUGGGAGUCUACCCUUUUCUACGGAACAACUGAGUGGAAACUUCAGCUAAUACCGUAUACGCGCCGAGAGGCGAAAGAUUUAUCGGAGAAGGAUGAGCCCGCGUGUGGAUUAGCUAGUUGGUGGGGUAAAGGCCUACCAAGGCGACGAUCCAUAGCUGGUCUGAGAGGAUGAUCAGCCACACUGGGACUGAGACACGGCCCACACUCCUACGGGAGGCAGCAGUGGGGAAUAUUGGGCAAUGGGCGCAAGCCUGAUCCAGCCAUGCCGCGUGAGUGAUGAAGGCCCUAGGGUUGUAAAGCUCUUUCACCGGUGAAGAUAAUGACGGUAACCGGAGAAGAAGCCCCGGCUAACUUCGUGCCAGCAGCCGCGGUAAUACGAAGGGGGCUAGCGCUGUUCGGAUUUACUGGGCGUAAAGCGCACGUAGGCGGACUAUUAAGUCAGGGGUGAAAUCCCGGGGCUCAACCCCGGAGCUGCCUUUGAUACUGGUAGUCUUGGGUUCGAGAGAGGUGAGUGGAAUUCCGAGUGUAGAGGUGAAAUUCGUACAUGUUCGGAGGAACACCUGUGGCGAACGCGGCUCACUGGCUCGAUACUGACGCUGAAGUGCGAAACCGAUGGGAGCAAACAGGAUUAGAAACUCUGGUAGUACACGCCGUACACUAUGAGAGCUAGUCCGUCGGCAGUAUACUGUUCGGUGGCACAUCUAACGCAAUAGGCUCUCUGCCUCGGGAGUACGGUCGCACGAUUACUACUUCAAUGAGUUGACGGG